rnacentral:misc_RNA from 1 species
UUUUCCUGAAGUUUCUGAGCUAACAGUACCAGUACUUGCACUUGCACUAGAUAAAAAUCUCUGAUAAGUCCACAUGGAAUGCACUCCUACAUCUACAGGUAUAACCGAGCAAAAGAGAGAGAGAUUUCGAUUAUCGAAGCACGGACGGUCUGCAUUGACCGAGGAAGCGAAAAUAGAUAAAGCGACGGGCAUUUCUCGAUAGAACAGACGCCAUAUGUGAAUCUUGGAAGCUUACACAGCGUUUCAAUGUUCGAAUAAACCCUAUCAAAGGGGCUUUCUCCUUAUGCGUUGAGUAUGGGCUUUCAGAUCAAGGAACUGCAGUCCCCUCCAG